rnacentral:rRNA from 1 species
GGGUUGUGAGGUUAAGCGACUAAGCGUACACGGUGGAUGCCCUGGCAGUCAGAGGCGAUGAAGGACGUGCUAAUCUGCGAUAAGCGUCGGUAAGGUGAUAUGAACCGUUAUAACCGGCGAUUUCCGAAUGGGGAAACCCAGUGUGUUUCGACACACUAUCAUUAACUGAAUCCAUAGGUUAAUGAGGCGAACCGGGGGAACUGAAACAUCUAAGUACCCCGAGGAAAAGAAAUCAACCGAGAUUCCCCCAGUAGCGGCGAGCGAACGGGGAGGAGCCCAGAGCCUGAAUCAGUGUGUGUGUUAGUGGAAGCGUCUGGAAAGGCGCGCGAUACAGGGUGACAGCCCCGUACACAAAAAUGCACAUGCUGUGAGCUCGAUGAGUAGGGCGGGACACGUGGUAUCCUGUCUGAAUAUGGGGGGACCAUCCUCCAAGGCUAAAUACUCCUGACUGACCGAUAGUGAACCAGUACCGUGAGGGAAAGGCGAAAAGAACCCCGGCGAGGGGAGUGAAAAAGAACCUGAAACCGUGUACGUACAAGCAGUGGGAGCACGCUUCGGCGUGUGACUGCGUACCUUUUGUAUAAUGGGUCAGCGACUUAUAUUCUGUAGCAAGGUUAACCGAAUAGGGGAGCCGAAGGGAAACCGAGUCUUAACUGGGCGUUAAGUUGCAGGGUAUAGACCCGAAACCCGGUGAUCUAGCCAUGGGCAGGUUGAAGGUUGGGUAACACUAACUGGAGGACCGAACCGACUAAUGUUGAAAAAUUAGCGGAUGACUUGUGGCUGGGGGUGAAAGGCCAAUCAAACCGGGAGAUAGCUGGUUCUCCCCGAAAGCUAUUUAGGUAGCGCCUCGUGAAUUCAUCUCCGGGGGUAGAGCACUGUUUCGGCAAGGGGGUCAUCCCGACUUACCAACCCGAUGCAAACUGCGAAUACCGGAGAAUGUUAUCACGGGAGACACACGGCGGGUGCUAACGUCCGUCGUGAAGAGGGAAACAACCCAGACCGCCAGCUAAGGUCCCAAAGUCAUGGUUAAGUGGGAAACGAUGUGGGAAGGCCCAGACAGCCAGGAUGUUGGCUUAGAAGCAGCCAUCAUUUAAAGAAAGCGUAAUAGCUCACUGGUCGAGUCGGCCUGCGCGGAAGAUGUAACGGGGCUAAACCAUGCACCGAAGCUGCGGCAGCGACACUAUGUGUUGUUGGGUAGGGGAGCGUUCUGUAAGCCUGUGAAGGUGUGCUGUGAGGCAUGCUGGAGGUAUCAGAAGUGCGAAUGCUGACAUAAGUAACGAUAAAGCGGGUGAAAAGCCCGCUCGCCGGAAGACCAAGGGUUCCUGUCCAACGUUAAUCGGGGCAGGGUGAGUCGACCCCUAAGGCGAGGCCGAAAGGCGUAGUCGAUGGGAAACAGGUUAAUAUUCCUGUACUUGGUGUUACUGCGAAGGGGGGACGGAGAAGGCUAUGUUGGCCGGGCGACGGUUGUCCCGGUUUAAGCGUGUAGGCUGGUUUUCCAGGCAAAUCCGGAAAAUCAAGGCUGAGGCGUGAUGACGAGGCACUACGGUGCUGAAGCAACAAAUGCCCUGCUUCCAGGAAAAGCCUCUAAGCAUCAGGUAACAUCAAAUCGUACCCCAAACCGACACAGGUGGUCAGGUAGAGAAUACCAAGGCGCUUGAGAGAACUCGGGUGAAGGAACUAGGCAAAAUGGUGCCGUAACUUCGGGAGAAGGCACGCUGAUAUGUAGGUGAAGUCCCUCGCGGAUGGAGCUGAAAUCAGUCGAAGAUACCAGCUGGCUGCAACUGUUUAUUAAAAACACAGCACUGUGCAAACACGAAAGUGGACGUAUACGGUGUGACGCCUGCCCGGUGCCGGAAGGUUAAUUGAUGGGGUCAGCGCAAGCGAAGCUCUUGAUCGAAGCCCCGGUAAACGGCGGCCGUAACUAUAACGGUCCUAAGGUAGCGAAAUUCCUUGUCGGGUAAGUUCCGACCUGCACGAAUGGCGUAAUGAUGGCCAGGCUGUCUCCACCCGAGACUCAGUGAAAUUGAACUCGCUGUGAAGAUGCAGUGUACCCGCGGCAAGACGGAAAGACCCCGUGAACCUUUACUAUAGCUUGACACUGAACAUUGAGCCUUGAUGUGUAGGAUAGGUGGGAGGCUUUGAAGUGUGGACGCCAGUCUGCAUGGAGCCGACCUUGAAAUACCACCCUUUAAUGUUUGAUGUUCUAACGUUGACCCGUAAUCCGGGUUGCGGACAGUGUCUGGUGGGUAGUUUGACUGGGGCGGUCUCCUCCUAAAGAGUAACGGAGGAGCACGAAGGUUGGCUAAUCCUGGUCGGACAUCAGGAGGUUAGUGCAAUGGCAUAAGCCAGCUUGACUGCGAGCGUGACGGCGCGAGCAGGUGCGAAAGCAGGUCAUAGUGAUCCGGUGGUUCUGAAUGGAAGGGCCAUCGCUCAACGGAUAAAAGGUACUCCGGGGAUAACAGGCUGAUACCGCCCAAGAGUUCAUAUCGACGGCGGUGUUUGGCACCUCGAUGUCGGCUCAUCACAUCCUGGGGCUGAAGUAGGUCCCAAGGGUAUGGCUGUUCGCCAUUUAAAGUGGUACGCGAGCUGGGUUUAGAACGUCGUGAGACAGUUCGGUCCCUAUCUGCCGUGGGCGCUGGAGAACUGAGGGGGGCUGCUCCUAGUACGAGAGGACCGGAGUGGACGCAUCACUGGUGUUCGGGUUGUCAUGCCAAUGGCACUGCCCGGUAGCUAAAUGCGGAAGAGAUAAGUGCUGAAAGCAUCUAAGCACGAAACUUGCCCCGAGAUGAGUUCUCCCUGACCCUUUAAGGGUCCUGAAGGAACGUUGAAGACGACGACGUUGAUAGGCCGGGUGUGUAAGCGCAGCGAUGCGUUGAGCUAACCGGUACUAAUGAACCGUGAGGCUUAACCUUACAACGCCGAAGCUGUU